UGGGACUCGGGAGGAGAUGCGUCGCUGCCAUCCUGGUCCGCCAUUUCUCCUGACGUCAGCUGAGAGGGAUCAACGGCAGGAACCCGAGGGGACCUGCCGGAGUGAUCCUGAGGCAGGCCGGGCACCCUCCCACGGACAGACUGUGCAGCCCCCCCCUCUCUGGACCCCCAGUAAAAUGGCUACUCAUUGGUGCACAGCAAGCUGCAACCAUGGCAACCAGCUGUUUGGCAUGGAAGGAGGAGAUGUUGGCCUGUAGACUAAAGCAGGCAGAGGAGUCCUGCUGUUGUUUAUGGGAUGUGACUGACAACUGAAAACAACACAAGUAGGCCUGAACGGAAUUGAUGAAGAGACUUUGACACUUUGAGAAAGUUUAAGUUGUUUUCCUCCCCAAGAGUUAAAGAAGAACACUGAUACCACUCUCUCGCAAGAGUUCGAUUUACCAACUUGAGCCACUGGUGGUCGUAGUAGCGCUCUUCUACUGUUUAUCUGAUUCGUUGAAGUUAGCUCACAAUAGACGAUGGCUUGUCCAAUCAACUAUUUUUUGUACGUACUCGCCCUUUUCCAAACAGAUUCCAGAGCUUCUGUGUUAGCAUUGUAAGCACCUACACUUGAGCUGUACCUGAGCUGAGGCAGCUACAGUUAGCACCAAUCAGCGGCUACUCUGGUGAUGUGCUGCCCCGUUUCUUUCUCCAGACAAAGUCAGACAAGCUCUUUCCCCAUGUUAGUUAUGCUGGUUUAAGCUUCAAAUUCAGUGCAGACAAGAAAGCAAAUAAGUGAAUUUUCCAGAAUGCUGGCAAAAGAACCUGGCAGCAGCUUGUUUCACACUCUAAUAUUGAUAUCUAAUGCAGCAAUACAAAACGUGACUGUCAGCUCUUCAGGGUAAUAGACAACCAAAUGAAUUAGAUUAGUUUUUGUGUUUUCGUGCCAUGGGUGAUUAAAGGAGAGCAGAGCCGAAAUUACUCAGUGGAGUCGACUCAAAAAUAUCUUGUUUUGUUCUGAAUCCAUGAAGAAGAAAAUAAAUCAGAAUUAAUACUAAAGGGAUGGGAAAACAAAUUCCAAUUAAAGUGGGAGUGCCCUUUUUAAAUGAC